rnacentral:rRNA from 1 species
AGUGAACGCUGGCGGUAGGCCUAACACAUGCAAGUCGAACGGCAGCACAGUAAGAGCUUGCUCUUACGGGUGGCGAGUGGCGGACGGGUGAGGAAUACAUCGGAAUCUACUUUUUCGUGGGGGAUAACGUAGGGAAACUUACGCUAAUACAGCAUACGACCUACGGGUGAAAGCAGGGGAUCUUCGGACCUUGCGCGAUUGAAUGAGCCGAUGUCGGAUUAGCUAGUUGGCGGGGUAAAGGCCCACCAAGGCGACGAUCCGUAGCUGGUCUGAGAGGAUGAUCAGCCACACUGGAACUGAGACACGGUCCAGACUCCUACGGGAGGCAGCAGUGGGGAAUAUUGGACAAUGGGCGCAAGCCUGAUCCAGCCAUACCGCGUGGAUGAAGAAGGCCUUCGGGUUGUAAAGUCCUUUUGUUGGGAAAGAAAAGCAGCAGGUUAAUACCCCGCGGUUCUGACGGUACCGAAAGAAUAAGCACCGGCUAACUUCGUG